GACGAACGCUGGCGGCGUGCUUAACACAUGCAAGUCGAACGGUAAGGCCCUUCGGGGUACACGAGUGGCGAACGGGUGAGUAACACGUGGGUGAUCUGCCCUGCACUUCGGGAUAAGCCUGGGAAACUGGGUCUAAUACCGGAUAGGACCACUGCCUGCAUGGGUGGUGGUGGAAAGCUUUUGCGGGGUGGGAUGGGCCCGCGGCCUUUCAGCUUGUUGGUGGGGUGAUGGCCUACCAAGGCGACGACGGGUAGCCGGCCUGAGAGGGUGACCGGCCACACUGGGACUGAGAUACGGCCCAGACUCAUACGGGAGGCAGCAGUGGGGAAUAUUGCACAAUGGGCGCAAGCCUGAUGCAGCGACGCCGCGUGAGGGAUGACGGCCUUCGGGUUGUAAACCUCUUUCAGCACCGACGAAGCGCAAGUGACGGUAGGUGCAGAAGAAGGACCGGCCAACUACGUGCCAGCCGCCGCAGUAA
rnacentral:rRNA from 1 species